rnacentral:sRNA from 1 species
UGCCUAAAGUUAACAGCCGCGGCGAAUC